UACAGAGGGUGCGAACGUUGCUCGGAAUUACUGGGCGUAAAGCGCGUGUAGGCGGAACGAUAAGUCGGAAGUGAAAUCCCCGGGCUCAACCCGGGAACUGCUUUCGAAACUGCCGUUCUCGAGUACCGGAGAGGGUGGCGGAAUUCCUGGUGUAGAGGUGAAAUUCGUAGAUAUCAGGAGGAACACCGGUGGCGAAGGCGGCCACCUGGACGGUCACUGACGCUGAGACGCGAAAGCGUGGGGAGCAAACAGG
rnacentral:rRNA from 1 species